rnacentral:rRNA from 1 species
AUUGAACGCUGGCGGCAGGCCUAACACAUGCAAGUCGAGCGGAUGAAGGGAGCUUGCUCCUGGAUUCAGCGGCGGACGGGUGAGUAAUGCCUAGGAAUCUGCCUGGUAGUGGGGGAUAACGUCCGGAAACGGGCGCUAAUACCGCAUACGUCCUGAGGGAGAAAGUGGGGGAUCUUCGGACCUCACGCUAUCAGAUGAGCCUAGGUCGGAUUAGCUAGUUGGUGGGGUAAAGGCCUACCAAGGCGACGAUCCGUAACUGGUCUGAGAGGAUGAUCAGUCAAACGGGAACCGAGGAGCGGUCCAGACUCCUACGGGAGGCAGCAGUGGGGAAUAUUGGACAAUGGGCGAAAGCCUGAUCCAGCCAUGCCACGUGUGUGAAGAAGGUCUUCGGAUUGUAAAGCACUUUAAGUUGGGAGGAAGGGCAGUAAGUUAAUACCUUGCUGUUUUGACGUUACCGACAGAAGAAGCACCGGCUAACUUCGUG